UACGUAGGGUGCAAGCGUUUGUCCGGAAUUAUUGGGCGUAAAGAGCUCGUAGGCGGUUUGUCGCGUCUGCCGUGAAAGUCCGGGGCUCAACUCCGGAUCUGCGGUGGGUACGGGCAGACUAGAGUGAUGUAGGGGAGAUGGAAUUCCUGGUGUAGCGGUGAAAUGCGCAGAUAUCAGGAGGAACACCGAUGGCGAAGGCAGGUCUCUGGGCAUUAACUGACGCUGGAGGAGCGAAAGCAUGGGGAGCGAACAGG
rnacentral:rRNA from 1 species